GAAGAGCAACAAUAUUGAUGAAUCCUAUAAAGUCCAUAGGCCCUCAAAUACAGGAAAAUUAUUGGGGGAAAUGAAGCCAUUAUAUUAGAAUUAUUAAUGUAAUUAAUAUCUAAUUGGUUUGUUGAGAAGAAAUUAGAGGAGGGUGAAAGACACUAAAAGCUCUAAAAGCAGAGAUGAGAGCCAGGAGGAAGAAACAAGCAAAUCCUAGAGCUUGAAAAAUGAGAGCCAUCUUCAUGUUGUUGCAAAAUUUGGCAUAUGAGCUACAAGCUUCACUCCAUGAAACUUCUAUGUCUCCAUUGUAAGCUAAGUAUAAUAUCUCCCCUACCGCUGCGCUCGAUGUCACCAUCAAAUAAGCCACAACCUGAUCGGAGACGAAGAAGACCCAAGCCUUGACUAGGAAGCACCGGAAGCAAGAAAGGGCGGCGGCGAGAAAAGCGUAGGCGGCGGCGAUGGCGGAGAUGCAGACCAUGUACUUGAGACCACUGAGAUUGUGAAACUCUAAGUUGCCGUAAUCUGGGUUGUCUUGUCGGUUGGUGAGAGUGAGACAUAGAGCUGCGAUGCUGAAAGGAACAGAGAAUAGUCUUAAAGAGAGGUCAAGAAGUUUGAAGAGUGGAGGAGGAGGAGGAGGAUAUUGGUGGCUGGAAAUGGAAGAAUUGAUGCUUUCUUCUGCCAUUUUUGAAGCUAAAUUUUGAUGG
rnacentral:misc_RNA from 1 species